rnacentral:rRNA from 1 species
GGGGGAUUCGUAAGAACCUCGCGUUAAUGGAGCGGCCGAUGUCGGAUUAGCUAGUUGGUGAGGUAAAGGCUCACCAAGGCGACGAUCCGUAGCUGGUCUGAGAGGACGACCAGCCACACUGGAACUGAGACACGGUCCAGACUCCUACGGGAGGCAGCAGUGGGGAAUUUUGGACAAUGGGCGAAAGCCUGAUCCAGCCAUGCCGCGUGAGUGAAGAAGGCCUUCGGGUUGUAAAGCUCUUUCGCAAGGAAAGAAAACUUAGUUACUAAUACUAGCUGAGGAUGACGGUACCUUGAUAAGAAGCACCGGCUAACUACGUGCCAGCAGCCGCGGUAAUACGUAGGGUGCGAGCGUUAAUCGGAAUUACUGGGCGUAAAGCGUGCGCAGGCGGUUUUGUAAGUCAGAUGUGAAAUCCCCGGGCUCAACCUGGGAACUGCGUUUGAAACUACAAGGCUAGAGUGUAGAAGAGGGGGGUAGAAUUCCACGUGUAGCAGUGAAAUGCGUAGAGAUGUGGAGGAAUACCGAUGGCGAAGGCAGCCCCCUGGGCUAACACUGACGCUCAUGCACGAAAGCGUGGGGAGCAAACAGGAUUAGAUACCCUGGUAGUCCACGCCCUAAACGAUGUCUACUAGUUGUUGGAGGAGUAGAAUCCUUUAGUAACGCAGCUAACGCGUGAAGUAGACCGC